CCCACCUUCAAGACAAAAAGGAUUUGACUUACUUAAGCAACACGUGGGAAAUAAUACAUUUUAACACUGAAACCAUUUCUACCAGUGCUCUUUUCUUUUUUCUUAACAAGGUCUGGUAUAGCCCAGGAAAACCUUGAACUUCGAUCCUUGUGCCCCAACCUGCCAAGUGCUGGGAUUACAGGGUCCCCCUAAGUGCUGAGACACCUGUAUUUAAACUAUCAAUUCUCUCUUUAGAAGAUGAUCUCCAACAUAAAUCACAGCCUCGACUGUCCCGGAAUUCAACUGUAGACCAGGCUGGCAUGAACUCACAAAGAUCCACCUGCUUCUGCCUCCCAAGUGCUGGAAUUAAAGGCGUGCCCCACCAUGGCCUGCCUCUUGUUUCUACUUUUGGGUAAUAAAAUUACAAGGAUGUACUAACAAGUGGGAUCCGACUAGUCCUGCAAGUACAAACUCUUUUAAGUGACAGCAGUAAGA